UACGUAGGGUGCAAGCGUUGUUCGGAAUCACUGGGCGUAAAGGGCGCGUAGGCGGGUUUGUAAGUCGAUUGUGAAAUCCCAAGGCUUAACCUUGGAGCUGCAGUCGAAACUGCAAGUCUUGAAUGUCUGAGAGGGUGGGAGAAUUCCUGGUGUAGUAGUGAAAUACGUAGAUAUCAGGAGGAAUACCGGCGGCGAAGGCGCCUACCUGGCAGUACAUUGACGCUGAGGCGCGAAAGCGUGGGGAGCAAACAGGAUUAGAUACCCUGGUAGUCCACGCCUUAAACCAUGGAUACUAGGCGUUCGGAGUGUUAACCCUCUGAGUGCCGCAGCUCACGCAAUAAGUAUCCCGCCUGGGAAGUACGGUCGCAAGGCUAAA
rnacentral:rRNA from 1 species